rfam:Pristionchus pacificus strain PS312 contig3541, whole genome shotgun sequence.
GAAAUCAUACUUCACAGGAUCAUUUCUGUAGUAUGUAUUUCACAUGAUCCCUCACUCUGCUUUGAACAGGCAACCGCGGUGAUUGGGAAAAGAGCGAAGCGCGAGCGUGAAAAUGCCUUCGGGCUUGAGGACCGCGGACGCUGAAAGCUCACUUUUGGUGGCCUGCGCCUCGCUCAUCUGAGCGGU